rnacentral:rRNA from 1 species
GACGAACGCUGGCGGCGUGCUUAACACAUGCAAGUCGAACGAAGUGGCGAACGGGUGAGUAACGCGUAAUCAACCUGCCCUUCAGAGGGGGACAACAGUUGGAAACGACUGCUAAUACCGCAUACUGAAGGUGGGGAUUGCGUCUGAUUAGCUAGUUGGAGGGGUAACGGCCCACCAAGGCGAUGAUCAGUAGCCGGUCUUGGAGGAUGAACGGCCACAUUGGGACUGAGACACGGCCCAGGCUUCUACGGGAGGCAGCAAUGGGGAAUCUUCCGCAAUGGGCGAAAGUCUGACGGAGCAACGCCGCGUGAGUGAUUACGGCCUUCGGGUUGUAAAGCUCUGUUAAUCGGGGCGCGGUACCGGAAUAGAAAGCCACGGCUAACUACGUACCAGCAGCCGCGGUAAUAC